GGUUAAGCGACUAAGCGUACACGGUGGAUGCCCUGGCAGUCAGAGGCGAUGAAGGACGUGCUAAUCUGCGAUAAGCGUCGGUGAGGUGAUAUGAACCGUUAUAACCGGCGAUUUCCGAAUGGGGAAACCCAGUGUGUUUCGACACACUAUCAUUAACUGAAUCCAUAGGUUAAUGAGGCGAACCGGGGGAACUGAAACAUCUAAGUACCCCGAGGAAAAGAAAUCAACCGAGAUUCCCCCAGUAGCGGCGAGCGAACGGGGAGGAGCCCAGAGCCUGAAUCAGUGUGUGUGUUAGUGGAAGCGUCUGGAAAGGCGCGCGAUACAGGGUGACAGCCCCGUACACAAAAAUGCACAUAUUGUGAGCUCGAUGAGUAGGGCGGGACACGUGGUAUCCUGUCUGAAUAUGGGGGGACCAUCCUCCAAGGCUAAAUACUCCUGACUGACCGAUAGUGAACCAGUACCGUGAGGGAAAGGCGAAAAGAACCCCGGCGAGGGGAGUGAAAAAGAACCUGAAACCGUGUACGUACAAGCAGUGGGAGCCUCUUAAUGGGGUGACUGCGUACCUUUUGUAUAAUGGGUCAGCGACUUAUAUUCUGUAGCAAGGUUAACCGAAUAGGGGAGCCGAAGGGAAACCGAGUCUUAACUGGGCGUUAAGUUGCAGGGUAUAGACCCGAAACCCGGUGAUCUAGCCAUGGGCAGGUUGAAGGUUGGGUAACACUAACUGGAGGACCGAACCGACUAAUGUUGAAAAAUUAGCGGAUGACUUGUGGCUGGGGGUGAAAGGCCAAUCAAACCGGGAGAUAGCUGGUUCUCCCCGAAAGCUAUUUAGGUAGCGCCUCGUGAAUUCAUCUCCGGGGGUAGAGCACUGUUUCGGCAAGGGGGUCAUCCCGACUUACCAACCCG
rnacentral:rRNA from 1 species